AGGGGCAUAGUUAAAUGGCAUAAUGACGGUCUCCAAAACCGUAGUUGGGAGUUCGAUUCUCUCUGCCCCUGCCA
rnacentral:tRNA from 1 species